ensembl:lncRNA
GAAAGUGUUAAUAAAAUCUUAUCACUGUAUUUUGCUUAAAGCAUGAUAUGCUCUUUACCAGAUGGUCGGAGAUGAAUUCGUCAUUUCAGGUAAAAUUUCAGCCCAGCCAGUAAUUUUUUCCAUAAUAGCUAGAAAUGUUUUCCCAGUAUUUCAGUGUUUAAACUCUGUUUUUGAGUAAUUAGAUGAUGACAAAUACUGCCUUACGUUAGUGAUCUCUGUGUUAUAAAUUAUAAAGAGAUUGAAAAAAUCUUCAAAUCUAGUCCCAUGGGCACUAUGGCCAAUAUAAUGAGGAUGGUGGGGAAAAAAAAAAAAAAAAAAAAAAAAAAAAGAGAGAGAGAGAGAGAGAAUCGCCUUAAAACAAUGCUCUAUUUUAAUAAUUAACAGUUACUUGAAUUAGGGUAUAAUGUAGGAGAAGGCACAGAGAUAUGUCAUUAAAAGUGAAUAUUUAUUAACAAUUUUUCACAGGUGACAUUAGUGUUCACAGAGAGUCUGUGAUAUUCUUUAAUUGAAUAUGAAAACUGGAAUCCAUUCAAACUAUUUCUAAGAGUAAAUGUAAGUGAGUAGCCCUGAGAAAUGUGUGGAGUGCUUGGGAUAUUGGUGAACAUAAUCUCAGAAUAUAUUUAAUUCAGAUGAGAAAAUUUUAGAAUGUAAUGCUGAAUAUCCAUACUUUUUUCUUGUAUUUAGAGAUGAAAUCUCACACUGGAAAAGCAUAUAUGGAAGUCUCUGAACUACAGUUUAAUAAACAUUAAAGGAUAUUUGAGAAGAAUGUCAACAUAUGCUUUCCAUAUUUGUUUAUUCAUUGACAACAGUUACUGACCACUGUCAGAUAAAAGAUAAUGUGCUAGAGAAGUCUUUUGUAAGAUACAGUAGGAUCAUGUCAAUUCAAAAUGAGUCUGAAUUAAAUCCAGUACGAUUUGACUUUUUAAUUAAUGACAUGGAUUAUGUAUAUAUUUAAAGAUGAACUUACAGAGGUUGUAGGAACAAUAUCGUAGUAUUAAUUUAGCAUUUAAAAAUAAUAAUAUUUUAUAGAUUUUUUUUUUUUUAAUGAAGUAAUUCCAUAAGGACAAAGUCUUUCACAGAUAUAAGGAGUUAGUUGAAGAAAUGCAUGAUAAGGCUAUCUGGCUAAAUUAGACAUUUACAAAGCUGUGGAGUAUGGUGCAUAACAAAUUAAAUAGGGCAAUCAUGUUGUAGCAUGGUUUUCUUUGCAAUUGAAAAAAGAAAUAUAUAUAUAUAUAUAUCAUAAUGAACCAUAAAAACAUAUGGAGUAGAUACUUAUAUACUAGCAGUAAUAAGACUUCACCUGAAACAAUUUGCAUAGUUUGAGCAUAGCUCUUCCAGAAGGAGUGUUCUUGAGAAAGUCAAAGUAACUAAGGUUUGUUCUAGAAAAUGUAGUCAUCACAAAUUGUUGGAAGAUGUGGACCUGUUGAGUUUAAAGGUGACUUAUUAAGUUAAAUUCCAAUAGUAAAAGCUAGUUGUCAAAAGAAAGGGAAUAAAAGUUCUUCAUGGAAGACAGAGAAAAUGAAAAUAAUAUAUAACAAAUUUGUUUGUUCACAUAAAAUAGAAGACUUUGAAACUACAAGUAAAACUGUAUGUAUGUGGGAGUACUUGUCAUCAGCAAUCAUUCUGUUCUUGAUCUCCUUAUUUUUUGAGGUUUCAUUACUCUGAGCAUAGUACUUCAGAGGACUGUACUUGCCUUCCGAAGUGAUAAAAGUGACUAGACUUAUUUUCCAACCUUUCUUGAACUGUUUUUGGAGUAUCAGAAGAAAUAUGUUGUGAAAAGGUGAAACAGAAUUUUUCCCAAUCUAAUUCAUCUUAAUAUAGUAAUAAAGCAAUUCAAAUAGAAUUAUUUUACCAUUCAGGCUAAAACAUCCCAGCUUCAUAGCACCAAUCAAAAGAAUUAACUUGCCUUCAUAAUCUAGCAUAUAAAGAAUUAACUUUCUGAAUCUGUAGUAAACAGUUAAAAAUUACACAGUAUUAAUCCCACUGGAUUCAAACAAUUUUAUGUCAUUAGAAGUUACAAUCCUCAAACGAAUUAUUCUGCAGUAGAUAUUUCAGAAUUACAGUUUGACAUUUAAUUUCUGAAAACGUAAGGAAAAUAUUUCCCUUCACAUUUUAUAUCAUAUUCUAUUGAAAUCAAAUAGUGUAGAACAUUGUUACAUACUUAAACUUCUUAACACACCUUUGUGAAGACAUAAGAAUUGAGAGAAAAAUCUGUGGUAAGUUCCUUAUCCUUAUCCUUGCUCAUCUGGAAAGGUAAAUAUAUGCCUGUGACACACUUCUAUCCACUUAUUCUUCUACCUGUUGUAAAAUAAACAAAUAAAUAAAUAAAUGACUACAUGUAUAGAACAAAAUUUGGAAAGAAAAAAGAUCCCUAAUAGCUUUAACAUUUCUGAGAUUUUUUAGUAUAGCAUAGAGUAAAAGUUAUAUAUGGUUAAAUAACAUGUUAACUCAAGGACUAACAAUGAAAUCCUGAGGAAUUUUAGUGAUGCUUCUUUUUGAUGCUUCUUUUCCCUCCCCUGUAAUUUUCAUUACAUUUUUGUUAUGAGCAUAAUUUUCACUAUUCACACUAUAAGCAGAACAAGAUCUUUGAGCAGGAUCUUGUAAUAGUGAAAAAGACUGAAGUGAAAUUGAUUGGCAACUGUAAAUAAAGUCAAUUUAUAAAACCAAACAUACAAGGCUAACUCAGAGGACAUGCACAUUCAUACAAAUAACUUAGCUAAAAUAUUUUAACUACAUAUUACAUCCAUUGUUUAAAUUCUACCCAUAAAUGUAUAUUAAUUUUAUGAAUGAAUUGAUAAAAAUGUGGUGCAAUAGCAUAUAACAUAUUCAUCAUCUAGUGUAUGUCAAGUGAAAAAAAAAAACAAUGCAGAUUUACUGGGAAGCACUCUGUCAUCUGCAUUUAGUGGCUAACAGAUUUCUAAAUUAAAUAGACAAGUUGUAUAAAGCAAGUGAGCUCUUAUUGCAAAAGGUUACCACAUUAUAGAUAUGUUUAAUUCCUUUUAGAUAUGAAAAUUAGAUAUGAAAAGGUCAUGGAAGUGCUUAAACAUAGCAUAAUCAAAUAAUUAAGUCAGAUAUUUCAGAUCAUCACUGAGUGAUUAAAAUUCAUGCUUGUGACAACUGAUUAAAAUAAAUAUUUUUUGAAGUCUACAUAACUGUCUUUUAUGGUGAAACAACUAGCUCAGUGGCUGUGGAUAUAAUCUACCUUGAUUUUAGUAAGGCAUUUGUUUUGCUGUCUCACAGUUUCCUUGCUAAUAAGCUGCUAAAAUAUAAUAUACUAUAUAAUAUAAUAUAUAUAAUGAACAGAUGAAUACCAAGAUUGGCAGAAAACUAGCCAGACUGCUGAAAUCAGAGGGUGAUGGUUAAUGGCAUGAAACCGGACAAGACAAAUUCCUUGGAGUCAGUACUGUCCUCAGAACUGUUAAAUAAUGUUAUGAGCAAGCUGGAUGUCAGGAUUGAAUGCACUGUCACUUUGGUUGUGGAUGACAUCAUACUGAGAAGCAAAGUACAUAAGUCUGGAAGGAAGAGACAAAAAUUCAGGCUGAUUUCAGCAGGUUGGAAGAUAGGCCAACAAAGAUUGCAUGAGGUUUAAGAAAAAUAAAUGUAAAUCCUGCUCCUGGGGCAAAAUAAUCACAUAUUCUGUAAUUACAGGUGACAGACUAGUGAUUGUGAGCAGCUCCACUGGAAAGCCCCUCUGAAUUCUAGGGCACCGCAAGCUCAAUGUAAGCCCGCAGCAUGACCUGGUAGUAAGGAAGGACAAAUGUUUCCAGGGUGUCAUCAGAAAAAGUAUAGCUAGAUUUUUUGUUAUGAUUACUACACGGUAUUUAGCAUUAGAAAUGCCACCCUUGGAAAAGUGUCCUCUUCUGAACCUCCUACUUCAAGAGAGGUUAAAAAAAACUAGAGGGUGUCUAGCAGAGGGAUACCAAGGUUUUGGCUUGGGAACUUGACUGACAAAGAAAAAUGUUGAAAGAGUUGUGUUUAUUCAGCAUUGAGAACAACAGACUCGGGGCUGAUGUGGGUGUGUGCAGAGAAUGUGGAACCACACUGGCACACACUUCCAUUAAGUGAAAAGUAGUCCAGUGAAGAUCAAAUUACUAUCUUCAUAAGGAUGUAUGGGACAAGAGACAAUGUGAACAGGCUGCCUUAAGGAACAUUCUGUAUGGAAAUAAGAAAAAAAAAACCCUUUACUUUGAGAAUGAUUAAUCACUGGUAUGUAAUGCCUGGAGAAGUGAUGGAAUCUCUCUCACUGGAAAUAUUUAAGACUCAAUCUAACAAAGCCCCUGGGCCCUGGGAAACUUGAGUCCUUGCUGGCAGAUGAGCUAAGAAGGCCUAUUCUAGACUUUGUUAAGAUUCUGUUGUUCUGUAGUAUAUGCAGAUACCUGUUUUCAAGAGGUAUGAGUUUAAAGAUUAAUUACAUUUUUUAAAUGGGUUAUUAUGAGAUAGACCAUUCUAUCCAUAUAUCCCUCAACAGCUUAUGAAAUAAGUCCCAUGUUAAGCAAAAUAAGGAAACAAACAAACAAAAAACAACUAAUCUGUUCUAUUUAAGAGCCACAUAAAAUCUGUGUUACUCAUAUGAAGUUAUGUCAGGUGAAUAAGGAGUUUACUAUGCUUUCUAUAGUUCUCUAAUCAUGAAUACGAUUAUUUUUCUGAUCAGUACAGAGACAGUAAUCUAGAAGUUAAUAUACAUAUAAAUUCUUUUGACCCCUAGCACUAAGCGGAGCUUAAAAUUCUCUACUAUGAAUUACAAAGCUCAAUAAUUGAGCCAGAAUAAAUUUCAGAAUCAUAUACUAUCCCUAGUUAGAAGGGACCCACAAGGUCACUGAGUACAAUUCCUGGCUCCACAUAGGAGCACAUUCUAUGCAUUAGACAACUGUAUUUUCUGUGAGUCACAGAAAUGGUUUACUUCUUUAUUUAUGUCUUCUCUCUCUCUUUAUACUUUUAAGAUGUUCUUGAAUGUUUCCUCAUUUGUCUUACUUUUUCUCACCAUUUGUUUUAUUAGAGAAUCAGUGUAAAAAAUUUUAUGAUACAAACAAUAAUUUCUGUACAAGGUUCAUAUCUAAAUUCUUUCAAAAUGCACAAACAGAAUAGUGUAAGAAACAUUGAUCUAUCUCUCUAGAGAAUUGUUUUUGAGUCAUGGAAUUGCAAGGGUUGGAAGGGACCUCAAGAUCAGAGUUUAACUCUCCUGCUAAGGCAGGUACCCUACAAUAUGUUGCAUAGGUAGACAUUCAGGUGGGUUGUGAAUUUCUCCAUAGAGGGAGACUCCACAACCUCUCUGGGCAACCUGUUCCAGUGCUCCAUCACCCUUACUGUAAUGAAUUUCUUCUUCAUGUUUGUAUGGAACAUCCUGUGUUCAAGUUUCAGGCCAUUACUCCUUAUCCUAUUGCUACGCACCACCAAAAAGAGCCUGGCAUCAUGCAUUUGACUUCCGUCUCCCUUUAGAUGUUUUUAAAUAUUUAUCAGAUCCCCUCUCAGUCUUCUUUUCACCAGACUGAACAGACCCAGAUCUUUCAGCCUUUCCUCAUACUGGAGAUGCUCCAGGACCUUAAUCACCUUUGUGGCCCUCUGCUGGAUCCCUUCUAGGAGAUUCUUGUCUUUUUUGAACUGAGAAGCCUCAAACUGGACACAGUAGUUUAAAUGUGGCUGUUUCAAUGACUUAAGAAAUGGACAUAUCUAAUGCUUGAUUAAAAUUUAUUUAUUGGGUGGAAAUGGCAAGAUGUUGAUAUCAAGGGGCUGCAGAGGUGGCCUCUAUGAGAAGACAGCAGGAGCUGCACCCGUGCUGGACACAGGUGAGACCCUCAGUGAAGUUGGUGGCACUUCUUAGAAGACAUAGUUUAAAAAGAAAAAAAUGCUGAGCAGCAACUGUGAGAGAGAAAAUACAUGUGAGGGGGAAAAAGAAAAAAGCUACAAAAACCAAACUCAGAGAAUAAAAAAGGGGAAAAAAGUACUCCAGGUGCUGGAGGACACGCAGUAGGUGGAUCCUCUGAAUGAAGGUCCAGUCUGUGAAAAGACCACACUGGAGAAGUUUCCCGGCAGGAACUUCAGCUUCUGGAGAGGAACUCACACAAGAGCAGCUUCUGUGGCAGGGCAAGAACUGUGGUGGCAUGGUAGACCCAUGCAGGUUUAUUCCUGAUGUACUGUACCCAUCAGAAAGGACUCAUUCUGGAGAAGUUCUUGAAGAACUGAAGCUUAUGAGAAGGACCCAUGUUGGAGCAGUUCAUGAAGGAUUGCAUCUUGUGGAAGUUCCCAUGCUGGAACGGGGGAAAAGCCUUAUCCCAAAUAUAUCUAUUCUGAUUCCCUUUGUUGUUUUCACCUUCCUGCUCCUGUCUUUUCUUUAUCUCUUGCAUCGAUCUUCUCUGCUUGCUUCCUCCACCUCCCAACCUCUAUAAUGUAAAUGGAACAUUCAGUACCUGGCCUUAGGGCUGAUUCAUGAUAAAUUAAACAUUCCUUCUCAUCAAGGGGGAAUGAUACACUAUUUUCAAGACUGUUACAAUACAUAUUAUGUUAUGUACCAUAAGAAAUAUUUACAUAUAUAUGUGUGACUAUCAGCAACCUCUUUCAACCUUGUGUCCAAUGGCUGGCAAGUGCUUUGUCACAGAUAUGCUGCUAGGUCUGAGAAAGAAGUACUCACAUGGUUUCUACUGGAAACAUCUGUACCUAAUACAAUUUAGUAAUUCAGUUUUACUUGGGUCUGGUGUAAUGAUCUCUAUAGGUAAAAACAACAAUGCUAUUACUUCCUCCCCCAAAAUAUAUAACUUAUUCCUCCCAUUCUCUUGAUUUAUUUUAUCUAUUUAUUUAUUUAUUUAAUUAUUGGAGACAGUGCAUUAUAUUUUAGAGAAAAAAAGAAAAAAAAAGAAAAAAAAGGUAUGUUUUAAAAAGAAAAUAUUAUUUAUCUGAUUUUUUCCUACCCCGGAUAAUAACUUCUCUGCACAGUCACCAUUUGUAUGGUAAUAACAUUUGAGUCAGUUGGCUAAACAUAGGCACAAGAGAAUCUGACAUGCCCUGUGCAUAUGAUCAGGACUGGCAAACAUAGGACUUACAUGAAAGCCACAUUUUUCUACCUUAUUGGAUGGCAGGAAAGGGUACACCGGAUGCGCUAUCCUUGGAGAAGUCCAAAUAGCAGUAGAAAUCCAUGUGUAGUCAAAUCAGUUCCCUUCCUAUUAUCAUCUCCCGCUGAAAUAGAAUGAUAAAUGUGUGAUUUAAUCCAAACAUCUUACAGAAAUGUUAUCACAGCAAAGUAGAAUGAAAACACAAAACACAAACACAUAAUCACAGUGCUUUGGUAUUUAUGACUAUGUUAAAAAUAAUAAUUAUUAUUAUUAUUUUAUUUUAAUAACAAGCUCAAAAAAAAAAAAAAAAGACUGUAUGGCAAUAUUAUUUCAUUCUUCUACUCUAAGACUUCUUUCAUCUACACCUACCUACAUCAAGUCAACAGCUGAAAAAAAAAAAAAAAGCUAUGGUAUGAAGAAGAGAUAAUGGAGAAUGAUGUAUGUUCAAAUGAGUUUUUGUUUUGUUUUGUUUUUAAAAACCUUAAUUUCUGUGAUUCUUUCCUUUGACUCCAAGCUGAUUUGAAGAUUUUGUCUACUUUGAUUGCAAUUACUUUCACAGAGCUGCUUAUGCUGCAUGUAUACUUUAUCAAUUUUACAGCUAUUUUCAGGAUGUCCUUUUUGAGUUCUCUGGCACAUUCGAAGUUCACUGAAAAAAAAGUGUGUAUUGAAUUAUUUUGGAGUAGCAAAUACUACACAGAAAAGAAAUUGAGUUCAUUUUAAAUUUUAUUUAAAGAGUGUUGCCCUUUUUUUCCAUAAUUGAAAACAAGAGGUAAAAUUACAUAUAUAUAUAUAUUUUUUUCUUCUAAGUCUGUAUUAGUAUUUCAGCUGAGAUAUGCUUAAUCCAAGAUGGAGACUGAUUACCUCGAAAGCCUCAUAUUGUUUAACACAGAAAGUAUUAUUUCUUAUGAGCAUUAUCACCAUUUCUUAGGUCUUUUCAGGGUCUGCCCAGCACACUCUUCAUACAUUUUAACAUUUCAAUGAUAUCAGUAAAAAUAAUUCCAGUGUCUCAGCACUGUGGGUAAGAUUGUUGCUUUUGAGAUAUUCAGAAUAGAUUCUUGUCUCAGCAAGCAAUUUGAGCUUUUUUUUUUUUUUUUCUUUACUUUAACCUGAGCCACACAAGUGAUCAUAAAUGUGUUCAAAUUGAAAAUAUAUUUAUCAUGAUGGCUUUUGGUUAAAUCCCUUGUAGAAGGAUUCUCUUCUGACUUUUCCUUUAUUUGUGCUUUUCCACAUAGUAUGUUGCAUCUCCAUAACAAAACACACUAAAAAGAAAACAAACAAAUAAAAACAUAACAAAAAAUAAAAAAACUCCACAAGAAAAUGGAAGGAACUCAUUGUUGGGUGACCUACUGCAGAAACAUUGUUUGUCUGGCAUGGGUGAAAUCCACCUCUCACUGUUCGAAAUUCCAAAAUGCUUUGUAGGAAAUUGUCUUCUUUUUUUUUUUUUUAGACUUUUUUAGACUUAAACAGGCUAUACAUCAGCUUCUCAAAACCAGGAAUUUAGAAUAAAUACAGCCCAACAUGUACAAUGUCUUCAUCCAAUUGCCAGCUAACAUGCGAUAGAUCUCAGUGGUGUGUAGGUUAUAUAUUUAUUUAUAUUUGAGGUAUAUCUGUACAAUCAAAACCCAAGAAACAAGCUUUGUGGGAAAACAGCAAAUGAAAUUAUUUUAAACUCAGCAGAGAAAUGACCUCUUUCAUCUCCAAAAUAUUUCCUUUAGCAAAGACUUUUUGCUACUUACAGAUAAUACAUGCUAAACCAGAAAUGGAGAAUUUAUUUCAUAUUGUUCAAGAUAUUUUCAUGGCAAAAUAUACUAAUAUGCACUAUGCUUCUCUCUCUUUUUUUUUUCUUUCUUUCUUUUUUUUUUUGGAUAUACAUUACAAAUAAAGGAAUUUGUUUCCUGUGAACAAUAAGAGUCUAACAACUCUUCUGGACAAGAAAUAUUAUUUUUUAAUAUUUUUAUUUACAUUACCUUUACUAAGCUGGGUUUCACAUUUCAUGCCUUGCUGGCUUUAAAGUUGUUUAUUGCUCUAUUUUUCUUAUCACUGGGGAACAUGUUGAGAAUUCCUGUCACUUAUCUGUCUUCAAGGACUUGUGUACUGGACUUGUGCAAAUUUUUAUAAAGGAGAAAAUGCCUUUGUUUCACACCACCAGAGAGCACUGUUGUAUCAUUAAGAUUUGUCUAUUUUUUCUAUACUAGAAAUUAGCUAAAGUAACGAGAACAGAGGAGUCAAACAAAACUCAGCUAAAUAUUCUUUCUUGACAAAUGUCAUAGGCACAUAAGGCAUAAUAAAUGAAUUUUUCUUUUUGUGUUUAUAGUUCUUCAUUCUUUCAAGGUACCUUUCUUUCAAAUAAAUGAAAAUGUUUGUUUUCUCAAGGUUGUAAUUAGCAAUGUAUUUUGUAUCAUAAACUUUCAUAAAUUUUGCUUUACUCACCAGUCCAGUGGCACUGCUGUGAGCUACAUUACAGAUCAGCUAUUAAGAUAGUUUCUCUUUUCUCAUUCAGGGAAACUGAAACAAUAUCCUGUAAUACCUCAGUAAAUAAUUUGGUGAGAUGCUGAAGACUGUGCUUGCAAACGUACCUUGUCACUGCAUCAAUCAAACUGCUAGAAGCAGAUAUUAUUCUUUCAGCUAUACAGGCAAGUAAAGCAAGGAAAAUAAGUUCAAUUAGAAAAAAAAUAGAUGGAACAGACAAUGUAUAAGGAAGAAGAUGGUAGCUUAGUCUUCUGAAAACUUUCUACUAAAAGCAAGAACUAUAGUGAAGAAGCUGAAACUUCUGUGUUAAAAUGUCAUUUACUGUAUCUAAACAUAAGUACAUGCAUGCACACCUCUGGCUACACAAACAUCAUACACACAUGCAUAGCAUACUGAUUUAUUCAAAAAUCUCCUCUUUGCAAGGAAGCUAGCCAUUUCUUCACAGAUGUUUCAGUGAGGCUUUUCAUUAAACUGAAUGAAAAUAAUUUUGGCUUUAAUUUUGUUGAUUAAAAACAUAACCAUUAAAAGUAUUCCUCCAUUUGAUACUUCAUGGUUUUAGGAUUUAUCCUUUAAAGUCAUUUUAAGAUUGGAAAUUUUUAGGAUUUUUCAGAGAGAGAGGAAACUAAGAUAAUUUAGUGUCCUAACUUCUACUUAAAUUCCUAAAUAUUCAUUUAGAUUUAAGUAUCUACAUAGUUUUUAUUUUGAAACCUGGUUAUAAAACAAUGUUUAAAAAGGUGAAAUGAACUUUGAUUAACUAAUUAUGAGAAUCGGAGUGCAAGAACACACAAACACACACACACACACACACAAAACACUUUUAGAAAAUGAAAUCUGUUCUACAUUUUUUUUUUUUUUUUUUUUCCUGGAAAGAUACAUCUCAUUGUUUUUUACACCUACAUUUGAUAACAUGCUUAUUGUAUUGAGAAUAUUUUCUGAUAAUUUUACUCUUCUAAUGGCACUAAAAAGAAGCAAUUUGUCUGAAAUGAACAACAAAAAAUAUCUUUAUUCCAUCUUUGAUGAUAUUUCAUUUUUCCUAUUUUUUUAAAAAUAUAAUAGGAUGUUAUUCUAAAAUUAUUGUCAUGAUUCUGUGUUAAUUACAAUGCUCUUAACACAUUGAGGCUCAAGUAUUAAAAUAUAAAAUUUUCAAUGCUACUGUUCAUUUCUAAAUUUUAGCUGUAACACAGUAGCAGGCAAAUUCCUAGUUUUUAUUGUUGCUGUUGUUUUCUCAGCAUACUUUAUACUCAUAGUAUAGUCUGGAACAGUAUAUAAUACAAAGACAUGUUUCAGUGUUUCCAAAGUGCAGGGAUAAACAAACUUUUCCGGUUCAAACAUCUACAAAAUAAGCAUUUUUUCUUCCCACCAUCAUAAAAAUAUAUCUUACUUUAUAUAUCAAGAGCUUUCUUCUGUUGCCAUUCUCAAGGUCAAGUUGGUAGAGAUGCCACUGAAAUUAUUUGAGACUUCCCAUUGAGUGAUAACAGAAAACACUUGUUCUCACAAUAUUAAUUCUUGCCUUUCUCUUUCAGGCUUUCCUUACAUAUAAUGUGCAUUGAAAUUUUUGCUUGGGUAAGGAUUUCAAAAUAUCUAUGUAUUUAAACGAGAAAAAGGACAAAUAUGAUAAUCUGCUUAAACUAUUUGUUGAUUUUUUCAUUCUUCUGCUGUUGCAUUUUUUUCAUAUCCAUAUCAUACAUUAUUUAUAUGUAAGUUCAUUCUCACACUUUAAAUAUAAAUUGCUUUCUAUCCUUAACAUAAUUUUAAAAAAGAUGUUCUCAUAGGAACAGCCAAGAAAUUAGAACAGGGGUAUUUUUUAGGUUAAGUUUGUUUUCCUUAAUUUAAGCAUUCUGCUUCUUGAUGAUCAAUUCAUUAUAUCCUUCAAGUAGAGUAGCUAUAUCGCUUUGUGGUAUCAGUGUAAUAUCAGUGUUGCUGUUGUGACUUCAAGCAGUUUAACUUAGAAGUUUAGACAAAAUAAAUCUCUACUGAUUUUUAUGUGUAACCCAGCUUGACAGGUAUUUACUGUCAACCUGAGACAGAAAUAAAAUGAUCAAAUGUUUCUUAAAAAAUCUAAUCCAACUAUGUUCAGUAGAACUUCCAAUUAGUGGUCAUAUUUCAGUUAAACAACAUAACAUUCUGCACUACAGGCUGCCCCAAGUCUGUUAAGCGUAGUAUACUAUUAUCACUAGAUGACAGUGGUCUUUACAGGUAGGUUCCAUUUCUGUGAAGCUAAUCCUAAAGACAACUCACAUCCCCUGACAAGAUUUACUCAAUUUAUUUAAGUAAUGGUGCUUUGUUUAAAAAGAGUUUGAAUCUAAAUACCAAAAACUUUCUGCCAUAGGUUCUUCCGCAUGUCUAAUGAUAACAUCUCUUCAUGUUAGUAACCCAGGUUUGAAUAUCUUUCCCUAGUAAUUAAUGGCUUGUUCCUUUUAAGGUCCCAUCUCUGUACUUUUACAGUAUCCUUUGAGGUUGAUAAGGUUCUGUUAUAAUGACUUCUUUUUGCUUUCUGAAAAUCCUUUUUCAGUAAUGGCAUUGACAUGAAAAUUUCUUCCAUAUCACUUGUGAAAAUCAGGUAUUAAAAAGAAAUUUAGUAAGUGCAAUCAUAUUUUAAUCCAAACCCAUUUUGUGCAGAGCUCUUUAAUCAGAACUCUUUCACAAUGUGGGGAAAGAAAAAAGGAAAAAAAGAAAAAAAAAAAAGACUAGAUUUAUGAACUUAUUCAAAUGACCUGACAGUAAAAAUAGGUCAGUGAGAUGAAGAACUUUCUUAUGCAGCCUUUAAUUUCCAACUAACUCUGUCUUUUGCUUUGAAAUUUUGCAUUCAUUGAACGCUUGCAAAGUGUUUAAAUUAGCUUUUAGUCCGUAAGCCACUUACACGCUCUUAGAUAAAGACCAUCAUCAUGAUUGCAAAAUCUCCUAGCUUUAAGAAACUCUGAAGUCUUUGCAUUUUGAAGGAAUAAGGACAUAGUAUUUUAGAUUUGAUUUAAAAGUUAAACAGAAAGCUUUUCUAAUAAAGAAAACAACCACAGUGACCCUGACUUUAUGAAGUCAGGUAGAGGCAGGGAUAGAGUCAGCAAUUCUAAAACAGUCUUCUUCCUGCUUAUCUCUACUGCUCCUCUGUCUCUCAUCUGUGCCAUCUCUGUUUCUGUUAAUAUUUAUGCAAGACAAAAUUUGUCACCUUGGCCAUGUUAGAAGUCUGUUAAAUUAAUUCUUAUAGAAGGAUUAUGAAUCAUAAAGCAUAGAGAACUACAUAUUGACUGUGAGUAGAACACUUACAGUAGAAAGAAAUUUAAAAGAUCAUUACAAAAUAAAGAUGAAAAUAUGCUAAAAUUCCUUGCUGCCUCUGCAGGAAAAAGGAAAACAGUUAUUAUAACAGGCACUAUUUUUACACAGUGAAGAAAAUUUCUGACGACACUAAAAAUAAAUAAAUAAAAUAUAUAUUUAUUUUUUAUGAGCCCAUAUUUAACUUUCUUACAAUGAAAUAUAUCAUAUGCACAUAUAACUUCUCAGGCUAAAAUGCAACAUUAGCAUUUCUGCUUUUCAUGGCAGUGGAAGAAGUAAAACCAUGGAGCUAACCAGAUGUAUACAGAUGUACAAGUUAAACUUCUAUAUGAAAGAAGUGAUUGCAGCCUUUGAAUCCUGUAUCCUAGAGAAGCUUUUCUCCAUUUCCAUUUGAGUGUCAAAUCCAUUCUAAUAUAUAUCCUGUCAUAAAAAUGUAGGGUAUCAAUUGCAGUGAAUGCAAGUAUUAGACAGCUAGGUCUCACUAUUCAUUGCCACUUAGUCACCAGCAUGGCCAAUUCCAAUCCCUAAGCCAAAACUUUAAACAGCACAGAAUUGUGUUUCACAUUCCCAAAGUCACAAUUUGCAUUCAGUACACAGUCUACAAAUGGAUUUUGACCAGGUAGAGAGAAUUCUUCAAUGUUUCUGACAGAAAUACAAACAAAAAAGAGGUCCUGGAGAAAACACAACAGUUAAAAUUCUCUGUUUAUUGGUGAUGGUUCUUUGUUUGUUUGUUUUUUCACCAAAAAUUCGUGUCUUCUUUUCCAAGAAUGCGAUAAAGAAUAAAUUCUGGUCAGGAUUAAUAGCAAUUUUGCAUAAUAAUCUGGGUAUGAAUUAGUGGGGGAAGAAAAUUCUUUCUACUAGCUUCUCACAAGGCAGAGAGCAUCAUGAGUAUACAUUUAGGAUGAAAAUUAGUGUGUGAUCAAUUUUUAUAACAAAACAGUAACCAUAAAGUUGUUAUUUUAAAAUAUAAUAGGAAAGUAAGCAAAUAUCACAUUUUUAAGUGGUGACAAAAGGAAUACAAUGCAGCCCUAAAGUCUUCUAAAAUAACAAACUAACAACAACAAAAAAAUCAUUUUAAAACAAGUUAUAUAACGCUCUGACAAAAUGAUAAUGUGCUACAGGUAGCACAGUGCUGAAUAGCCAACCUUAUGGUCAUUAGAGAAUGUUAACACCACUGUUAUUCUGAGCUUAUUGUAUUUGUCUUGAAAUAUAUGUGAUCAACAUCUAUUUCAUUAAAGCUUAAAGAAGACAUGAACUAAUCCUGCUUGUGAUUAUUUAAAUUGGUACAGAAUCUGUGUGCAAAGCAUAUGGAAUAUGAUACAUAUGUAGAGUGGAAAAUGUGAUUUAAAAAAAGAAUGAAUUAUCAAUUAGAAGCAGGUUUGUAUUUCUAGAGAAGAGUUGUAUCUUUGAGGGAUAUUUUUUUAUACAGAAAAAUGACUUCAUGGCUUUAACCAGAAUUGAAAACCCAAAGGAGCCUUUGAUAUUCUCUUCUGGGUCACAUUGUAUUCUUUUUUUUUUUUUUUUUUUUUUCUUGAUCUCCACUGGCUUUACUAACAUCUGAGUCUUGUUUUAAACUUGCUGAUUUGAUUGCAUUGAGUUUGUAUUUGCUAUGCAAUAAGCUGGCACUAAGAAGGAUUUUGAUCUUUAAUCUGGUUCAGAGGAUUCUAAGCAGCUCUGAUUGCAGCCAUAGGCAAUACAUACACUAAAUGAGAUUGAAGGACAAAUUAAAACAAAUAAUGUUUGAGUAAAUCACAUUGUCCUAGUUAAAUGCAUUUAACAAUUUCAUUUUCCCUUGCAAAGCAGAUUUUAAAGAAAUUAACAAGUGCUUUACUUUUUUUAAUGUAAGUAUAAUGAAUCUUUUUCUCCACAGAAAAACUAACGUCAUUAAAGUUGUAUCUUUCCUCCAUGUAUUACAAUAGCUUCAAAGCUUUUGGGUAGAGAGCUGAGGAGAAGUCAGAGAUCUGUAAAAUAUAUUGCUAUAUUUAUUGCCAAAGGCUAAGCAUGGUAAAUUGGCCAAGGCUUUCUUAACAAUCAUAGUUCACUCGAGUAAUGAUGUUUUAGACCUUUCGACUAACAGCAGCUCCUACAGACAAACAAUAGGAACUUUAUAUAGUUUUCAUUGCUCUAAGAAAUAAAGCUUAGUGAUGAACUAGCUAAAGAGAGAACAGAAAAAAAAAAAAAAAAAAAAAAAACCCAAAACAAUGCAGGUUCAUUUUAUCCAGUUAUUUUAGUAAUCUUCUACCUGCCAAUAUCUGCAUUUCUUCAAGCAAUGUUUGUAUGAUGUUUACUAUAUUUGGAGAAGAGAAAACUGGACAAACUAUUAAAAAAGGUAGUCCAACACUACAAUAAGAAUAAUACUAAGUAAAUACAUAUAGUUUUAAAAAUAUUCCAAGAGACAAAUUAGUAUAAUAACAACAACAACAAAAUGUCAGCAGAUCACCUAGGCUAGCCAGGUAAAGUUUAUCAGUGUCUUAUUUUAUGACAAUACACACUAAAUCCUAUUUAACAAGUAGAGACAAAGAGAAAACCAAAUAAACUUUAAAGAUAUUACAACAUCUUUGGAUUUAUCUAUUUACUUCAAUUGUACUUUAAAAUAAUACAAAUAAAAAUCUGUUGAUUCUCUAUAUAAAUACAUUUAUUUAAUCUAAUGCCUACAAAUACAGUAUGUCAAAGCAACAUAUACACCAGUUCAGAAAGGAAGAAUGAUUCCAGAGUAAUAUCUACAUUAUCUUUUCUGACUUCUACUUUUUACUGUUUAAAUGCAUUGUUCUGGGUAAAAAUAAAUCAUACAAUUUUUGAAAUAACUUGUUGCAUUUAUUGAAUUCAUGUAAAGUUCUGGCUACUUUUGCACUAUGUCUAAAACUUGUGGUAAUUCCAGCAAGGUAAAUGUUUAAUCCCUUUUGGAUUAGGAAUUAGUCAAUCCCUAUUUGUUUCAUCCAGCAUUUUUUUUCUGCACAUCACUAUUUCCCUUUAGCUGAUGUAAAAUUUCUUAUAUGUCACAGAGUAUAUGUAUGAAUUGCUUUUCAUAUAACCUCAAGCAUCUUGACAUAAAUUGAACCUAUAGUAGAUGUGUUCAGUGAACUCCUAUAGCUGGGAUGUUCAUUACCUGCUAAUCAGUCUUUGUUCAAAUACAUGCUUUACACUGCUGUUCAUGUACCUUCCUCCUUCCUGCAGCUCUCAAGGAGGAAUGAGGCAAAAAUUAAAUUUCUGGAACUCUUGUUACAGUCUUGUCACAGUACUACAAACCUGUACACGUGUUUUUGUUGUUGUUGUUGUUGUUUUGUUUGUUUGGUUUUUGUUCUUUGGCUUGGUUUGGUUUGGGUUGUUUUUUGUUGUUGUUGUUGUUUUGUUUUUUUAAAAUCUUUAACUGAUAAGAAGUCUUUGGGUUCACUGAAGCUGUACUUUUCUUUAAUUGUGCUCCAUGUGAGACCUAGUGCAUUCCCACAAUGCUUUUUUGAAAAAGAAGAGGAUUAAAACUGGUCAAAUUCUUCCAUUAUGGAAACAAGUACUGAUUUUUUUAUGUGCUGUUACCAUAUAUUCAACUUAUAAAUAUAAUAUUAACAAUAAAAACACUUUUUUUUUUUUUUUUUUUUUUCUCUCCUUUACAUACAAAGAAAAUAAAUAUCUCCAUCUGCUUCUAGGAGCUUUUUUGUCCCGACUCUGUGUACUGAUAUUUCACCCAACAUUGUUGGUCUGGGUCAUUCUAUUUUAUAGUCUGUGGUUGUACUCUGUGAAUUUGAAGGACCUCCAUGUACUGGUUUGGAGAAAAAGAAACUGAAUCUAGCUUUUAAAGUUACUUACACAUUAUGUAUAAAAGUCUAAUAAAAAUGCAGUUUAACUCAUCUUGGAGACAAGAUCAGAUGCCGUAUUCAAAAAUGGCUGGAGAAAGAGUUUAUUUCCCUAAGACAUACCGAAUUAUAUGAAAAAUAGGGCAAUACUGGUUGAUAGCUUUCUUUCCUCAGGACAUUUAAAACUAUAAUUUCCUGUAGAAAUCACUAAAUUAAAGUUUAAUCACUAUACUAUAUUGUAAUCCAACUCAGUAGUUGUUAAACAUGUAGUUAGACAGCUGUAAGUUUCAAGUGCACCUACAGCCAAAAAAACAGCUUUUGGGGCUGGACAUUCUUUUGAGGAGGAUGCCUGGAGAAUACAACCUUUUAGCAAGACUUUUUGAUCAGAACAAGAUUCAGUGGAAAGAGAUGUAAAAUAGUACUACUUCCUUUGAGGAAUGACAAAUGUUGGCAAAAUGCCUCCAGCUAUUUGAACUAAUGUGGCAGUUCUUUUCCAAUAUGUUAAAUGUUUUGAAAUGUUUCAUGUGGAUGAAUCCCCUUUCCCAUAACACAAAAACAAGCUAACAAACAAAAAUGCUGUAGGAAAGAAUGAAAGGUGAGUGCAUAAUUCCCUGCAAUACAUCAGCCAGAUGGGUAAUAUGGAAUUGAGUCACUUACGUGACCAAAUUACCAGGGCAUAUCAAAAUACAGAAUUCCUUGAAAUAGCUGUUAAGAAUGCAGAUGUGUAAAGUUGAUGGCCAAGGCUUAAUAUGACUUACCUGACAGUGGAUAUGAAAUACUAACAAAGUAUUGAAACUCUCAGGGAUAAUCCCUGAUUAAUAUUAGAAUCCUUAAGUUCACCUGCGCCUACUGCUCCAGUCUGUCUAGGUUUCUCUGAGUGGCAUACUCUCCCUCAGGUGUGUGGCCUGCACCACACAGUAUGGUGUCAUUCAUAAAUUUCCUGAUGGUGCACAAAAUCCCACUGUCAGUGUCAUCGAUGAAGAUGCUGAAAAACAUCAGUCUCAGAACUGACCCCUGAGCAACACCACUUAUUGAUCUCCAUUCAGACACUGAGCCGCUGACCACCACUUUCUGGGUAUGAUAUUAAGAGUCCCACUCAUAUCAUUUUGAGAAAGGCAGUAAUAGGUAUUCUUCACGUUGUUAUACAAAAUACAGGAUAUUGUAAAAAUUAAAUUACUGGUGGAUCAGGGCUGCAUUUCUGUGUGUUUUUUAAUCAAAUACUGGCAUUUUGUUUGAACAACAGGAUGUAAUGACUAUCUUUUGGCAAUAAUGUCAGAUUUAGCAAUAAAGUGCAAUAGUUCCCCUGGAACUUCUUACUUAAUCCAGAAAAAAUUUAGUGUUCUAUUCAGGAUUUUAUUAGACAUUUGGAGAACAUAUUAGAAGAUCACUUGCUGAUAAAUUCAACUAGUACUUCAUCUUGUUUGAUAAUUUGUGUCUGCAUUAUUUGAUAGCUUGUGACAACUUUGCAUUAUGUAGUAGCAUUGUGAGAUGCAUUUAAUUAAAAAUAAAACAAAUAACACACACACAAAACCCACAGCCAAACAACAAUAGAACAAACAAACAAAACCAGCAACACAACAAUACACAGAUGUUUGAUCUUUUCACAGUGUACCAAAAUUGCACAGUGUUAAACUCAUUUCAUGUUAUCAAUUUACCUGUAACAUAAACAGAACCUUUCUUCUCUAGGAAAUUACACUUUUCAUUUCUCCAAGCAUGAUGAUUUUGCCAGUAAUUUCUGUAAGAAAAUAGGAAAAUUAAACAAUCAUCAUGGGAUCUCCUUUUAUACUAAAUGUUGUUUUCU